rnacentral:rRNA from 1 species
CACAGUGUAGCAAUACAUGGGUGGCGACCGGCAAACGGGUGCGAAACACGUACGCAACCUUCCUUCAGGCGGGGAAUAGCCCAGAGAAAUUUGGAUUAAUACCCCAUAAUAUUUUGAGAUGGCAUCAUCUUAUUAUUAAAGCUACGGCACCUGGAGAUGGGCGUGCGGCUGAUUAGGUGGUUGGCGGGGUAAUGGCCCACCAAGCCUACGAUCAGUAGCUGAUGUGAGAGCAUGAUCAGCCACACGGGCACUGAGACACGGGCCCGACUCCCACGGGAGGCAGCAGUAAGGAAUAUUGGUCAAUGGACGCAAGUCUGAACCAGCCAUGCCGCGUGGAGGAUGAAGGUCCUCUGGAUUGUAAACUUCUUUUAUCUGGGACGAAAAAAGGGUUUUCUAACUCGUCUGACGGUACCAGAUGAAUAAGCACCGGCUAACUCCGUGCCAGCAGCCGCGGUAAUACGGAGGGUGCAAGCGUUAUCCGGAUUCACUGGGUUUAAAGGGUGCGUAGGCGGGCAUUUAAGUCAGUGGUGAAAUACCUGAGCUUAACUUGGGAACUGCCAUUGAUACUAUUUGUCUUGAAUGUCGUGGAGGUUAGCGGAAUAUGUCAUGUAGCGGUGAAAUGCUUAGAUAUGACAUAGAACACCUAUUGCGAAGGCAGCUAACUACGCGAAUAUUGACGCUGAGGCACGAAAGCGUGGGGAUCAAACAGGAUUAGAUACCCUGGUAGUCCACGCCCUAAACGAUGAUUACUCGACAUUAGCGAUACACUGUUAGUGUCUGAGCG